GCUUCAAAGCUACCACCAUCAUUCCAGUCCCAUCGAAGCCAUCUCCAUUUUGCUUCAAUGACUACCGUCCAGUUUCACUUACUCCUAUUCUCAUGAAGUAUUUUGAAUGGCUAGUCAUGCACCACAUUAAGUCUGCCCGUCCCCCCUCCCUGGACUCCUUCCAGUUUGAAUAUCGGUCCAACCGCUCGACCGAUGAUGCCAUCGCAACUGCCCUCCACUCAGCACUCACAGAUAUAGACAAAAAGGACUCAUAUGUCAGAAUGCUGUUCAUAGACUUCAGUUCUGAGUCUCUAGACCAGAGAAACAAAGCGGAUCGACCAAGUUCUGAGUCUCUAGUCCAGAGAGGCAGAAGACACACAGACAUCUGCAACAAGGUUAAGCUCUGGUGAGCAAACCUUCACUUCAAGGUACUUUUGCUUGCAUGUUCCAGGCUAAGGACCUUCUGCACCUACUCCGGGCUACAUCUGCGUGUUCCAGAUUUUAGGACCCUUUGGUGCUCCAGAAGAUCAUCAUCCUCCAGCGCUUCGUGUUCAAGACUGCUGAAUCGGAUUCCUGCUCCUUUCCCCACUGCAUUGUUACCAGCACAAACAGUGGAUGAAGUCAUUGCCACCAGACUGCUCACUCGACCACAGAGAACAUUUUGGGAGAGAGUGCUGCCAGCAAAGACGGGGCGGGUGCAACUGCCACUUCAGAUCCUGAAGAUGAUGGAGAUGGAGACAUCUCUACAAUGGACCCUGAGCCAGAAGUGGUCCAUCGUGGAUCACAGUGCAACAUAAGAUGUUUACAUCGUUCAUUAGCUGUUCAGGUAAAGCCUCAGAUGGUGGAUGUGGGGACUCAAACCGAAAGAUCAACUCCACUGGCCAGUCCUGAACAAAGUGAUGAUGAAUGGUAAUUUUCUGAUAUCAUCAACUAUUCUGGUGAUAUGUCAUGG